UACGGCCGCAAGGUUAAAACUCAAAUGAAUUGACGGGGGCCCGCACAAGCGGUGGAGCAUGUGGUUUAAUUCGAUGCAACGCGAAGAACCUUACCUGGUCUUGACAUCCACGGAAGUUUUCAGAGAUGAGAAUGUGCCUUCGGGAACCGUGAGACAGGUGCUGCAUGGCUGUCGUCAGCUCGUGUUGUGAAAUGUUGGGUUAAGUCCCGCAACGAGCGCAACCCUUAUCCUUUGUUGCCAGCGGUCCGGCCGGGAACUCAAAGGAGACUGCCAGUGAUAAACUGGAGGAAGGUGGGGAUGACGUCAAGUCAUCAUGGCCCUUACGACCAGGGCUACACACGUGCUACAAUGGCGCAUACAAAGAGAAGCGACCUCGCGAGAGCAAGCGGACCUCAUAAAGUGCGUCGUAGUCCGGAUUGGAGUCUGCAACUCGACUCCAUGAAGUCGGAAUCGCUAGUAAUCGUGGAUCAGAAUGCCACGGUGAAUACGUUCCCGGGCCUUGUACACACCGCCCGUCACACCAUGGGAGUGGGUUGCAAAAGAAGUAGGUAGCUUAACCUUCGGGAGGGCGCUUACCACUUUGUGAUUCAUGACUGGGGUGAAGUCGUAACAAGGUAACCGUAGGGGAACCUGCGGUUGGAUCAC
rnacentral:rRNA from 1 species